GACCUGAUGGCACAACGGUUAGUGUGUCUGCUCUAUUUGUACCAAAAUUGUGCCUCUAUGCAGAAGAUCCCAGUUCGAAUCCGGGUCAGGUCA